AUGAGCAUAUGUAGCUGUUGCCUGCCUGUCCUGCUUCUUAUAACAGCUGUGUAUUCAGCUUCCAUGAGAGGUCACAAUGAAGAGUUUCUGAGCUUUCUGAAUGAUGCCUUUAAUAUGAUCACUCCUCCUGAAAGCCCAGCCCCAGAAAUCAUCUCUGUUUCAGACACACCAAACUUUGUUCAUCUUCCAGAUCCAGAUCCAACAGCAGUGUGCACAACUCCUGCUCCAGUGUAUAGCUCUGCUGAUACUGCUGAUGAAAAAUCCAAAGAGAACAGCAAUUCUGCAGAUCGUACAGAUUCUGAUGACAGAAGCUCAAAGAAAAGGAACAGACUGCCUGAAAAUCUCGGAUGGUCACCAGAUUAUAAUUCAGCUGAUAGCAACAGUGCUGAUAUGACAAACACAGACACAGAUGCUAUCGUCGUCAUUAAAGAGAGACCCAGCAAAACGCAAGGUCCAGUCACUGUGCACCAAAACAGCGAGGAGAUGGGUGGACGUCUGAAUUUUGAGAAGCAUCGAGGGAAGAAGAGGAUGAUGGACAGAGUCAAAUUAAGUGAGAAUGGAAUCGCUGGAACCAAGGUGCCUGAGGCUACAUAUAAUUACCCACCUCAGCAAUCUCUGACCAAUGAGAGGAAGAGGAACAGCAAAUCCGAGCUGAAGGUGGACAUCCCACUGAGUGAUACUGAAGGUAGUACUGAUCCACAGUUGGACUGUGUGGAGGUAUCCAGCAAGGCUAUGGGAAAUCUGAAUGGGGAGAACACAAGAACAGCUGGUCCAGGUACAGAUCCACAGAACAAAGACGGGAUCACCAACUACAAGAGCCAGCUGAAGAGAAUGUGUGCUGCUAGAAAACGACUGAGAACACUCAGCAUCCCCAGAGAGCCUCUGGACCCAGACAGUGCAGAAAGAGUCAACAGUGAGCUUCUAGACAGAGACAACAGCAAUGAGAGGAUGGAUGCUGGCAUGCCUGCUCUUUUCUUGUGAGACACUCUGUUAAAAAUAUAUAUUUUUUUCAGUGUUUCAAAAUACAAAGUGUUUAUUACGAUUAUUUUGAGUCCCUCUUUCUUAUGAGUACAGAAAUUAUUGUGUGUAUUUAUCUAACACUAACAUUUUAAUGUAGAUUAAUAAUGAGUGAAUUAAUUCAUACGUCUUCAUCAUUACAGAUUUCAGUAGCCUACACUGCCAAUUAAAUAUGUUACUCAGGAA
rnacentral:lncRNA from 1 species